rnacentral:rRNA from 1 species
CCCUUUGGGGAGGGGAACCCCGAGAAUUGGGGCUAAUCCCCGAUAGGCGUGGAGGCCUGGAAUGGUUCUACGCUCAAAGGCACGACGACCAUGUUCAUCGUGUGCCCAAGGGUGGAGCUGCGGCUGAUCAGGCAGUUGGUGAGGUAACGGCUCACCAAACCUUUGACCGGUACGGGCCAUGAGAGUGGUAGCCCGGAGAUGUGCACUGAGACAAGGGCACAGGCCCUACGGGGCGCAGCAGGCGCGAAACCUCCACAAUGCACUCACGUGCGAUGGGGUUACCUCGAGUGCAUCCUGAAGAAGGAUGCUUUUCCACUGUGUAACUAGCUGUGGGAAUAAAGGGGGGGCAAGACUGGUGUCAGCCGCCGCGGUAACACCAGCCCCCUGAGUGGUGGGGACGUUUAUUUGGCCUAAAGCGUCCGUAGCUGGCUGUAUCCGUUACCCGUCAAAUCCAGCGUCUCAAGCGUUGGGCCGCGGGUGAUACCAUACAGCUAGAGGGUGGGAUAGGUGAGCGGUAUUCCCGGGGUAGGGGCGAAAUCCUUUGAUCCCAGGAGGACCACCAGUGGCGAAGGCUGCUCACUAGAACACGCCUGACGGUCAGGGACGAAAGCUGGGGCAGCGAACCGGAUUAGAUACCCGGGUAGUCCCAGCUGUAAACGAUACUCGCUAGGUGUUGGGUCGGCCAUGCGCCGCCCCAGUGCCGCAGGGAAGCCGUUAAGCGAGUCGCCUGGGGAGUACGGCCGCAAGGCUGAAACUUAAAGGAAUUGGCGGGGGAGCAC